CUGUUCACAUCCAAAAGGUACGGUUCAUCAUCAUUUUCUUUAGGUUUAUGGGGUUUGUUUGAAGUUGGUUUAGGAUGUAUGGUUUCUAUGAAAUUGGUUUAGGGUUUAGGGGUUUCUAUGAAAUUGGUUUAGGGGUUUCUCUGAAAUUGGUAUAGGGUUUAUGAGUUUCUAUGAAAUUAGUUUAGGGGUUUAUCUGAAUUUGGUUUAGGGUUUAUGGGUUUCUCUGAAAUUGUUUGAUUGUGAUGAUUCCUUGUUUGAAACAGUGAAGGAGUGUGUUCUUUGUUCUUUGUUUGAAACUGCUGUUGUUAUUGGUAUCAUAUUGCUGUUUUAUUGCUAUUUUGUUAUAGUUUUAUUCCCGUUCCAUUGUGGUUUUAAUGGUUUUGGCGAUUUAUGCAAUUGGAUUCUGUGUUUGUUUGUUGUUUUGUUUCAUCCAAAGAAGGGAAAUUGUAGGUAUUCAUUUAUAGUCUCUACAUUAGGCACCCUUCGAAGAUCACAUAUUAUUGGCUCAAGCUUGCGAUUGAGGCUUUAAGGGGAGAGGCAUAUAUAUGAGGAAAUCCUUUAUAUGAAGAUGCUGACAUCGAAGCUGUGCUGGAAGUGCUUUAUAUGGUCAUCCAUCCAUUUUGAUAGAGCUAUUUGGUUUAGGUAUUCUGUGUAGUAAGGUGAAAUAAUUUCCAGGGUCUUCGGCCAUGUUGUACAUGGUGAAAUGUAAUAUUGUACAGUCGGUGGCGGUGGCUAAUUGCCUUACAUGGCACAUAAACUAUUUCCGUUUUUGGCUAAUUGCCUUACAUGGUGAAAUGUAAUAUUGUACAGUCGGUGGCGGUGGCUAAUUGCCUUACAUGGCACAUAAACUGUUUCCAUUUUUGGAUUUUGUUUUCAAGUUGCAAUCGUGGUUAGCAUACUUAUUCUUUA